UCUACGGGAGGCAGCAGUGAGGAAUAUUGGUCAAUGGUCGAGAGACUGAACCAGCCAAGUCGCGUGAGGGAUGAAUGCACUGUGUAUUGUAAACUUCUUUUGUAUGGGAAUAAAAACUUCCACGUGUCGGAGUAUGUGUGUACCAGAUGAAUAAGGAUCGGCUAACUCCGUGCCAGCAGCCGCGGUAAUACGGAGGGUCCGGGCGUUAUCCGGAUUUAUUGGGUUUAAAGGGAGCGUAGGUGGAUUGUUAAGCAAGGUGUGAAAGGUUGUGGCUCAACCGUGACAGUGCAGUUGAAACUGGCAGGCUUGAGUGCAGGAGAGGUAUGCGGAAUUCGUGGUGUAGCGGUGAAAUGCUUAGAUAUCACGAAGAACUCCGAUUGCGAAGGCAGCUCACUGGACUGCAACUGACACUGAGGCUCGAAAGCGUGGGUAUCAAACAGGAUUAGAUACCCGAGUAGUC
rnacentral:rRNA from 1 species